rnacentral:tRNA from 1 species
GUUCCGUAGUGGACGACCGCGGACCCCCACCAGCCGUCCUGGCAGUGUGGGGGUCAGGGGUUCGAGUCCCCUCAGCUCCA